UUAUAGCAAUAUAGAGGCUGGCGACCGGCAAACGGGUGCGGAACACGUACACAACCUUCCUUUAAGAGGGGGAUAGCCCAUAGAAAUGUGGAUUAAUACCCCGUAACAUAUCGGUGUGGCAUCACACUGUUAUUAUAGUUUCGACGCUUGAAGAUGGGUGUGCGGCUGAUUAGGUAGUUGGCGGGGUAAAGGCCCACCAAGCCUUCGAUCAGUAGCUGAUGUGAGAGCAUGAUCAGCCACACGGGCACUGAUACACGGGCCCGACUCCUACGGGAGGCAGCAGUAAGGAAUAUUGGUCAAUGGACGCAAGUCUGAACCAGCCAUGCCGCGUGAAGGAUGAAGGUCCUCUGGAUUGUAAACUUCUUUUAUAGGGGGCGAAAAAAGGGAAUUCUUUCUCACUUGACAGUACCCUAUGAAUAAGCACCGGCUAACUCCGUGCCAGCAGCCGCGGUAAUACGGAGGGUGCAAGCGUUAUCCGGAUUCACUGGGUUUAAAGGGUGCGUAGGCGGAUAGGUAAGUCAGGGGUGAAAUCCUGGAGCUUAACUCCAGAACUGCCUUUGAUACUAUCUAUCUUGAAUAUGGUGGAGGUAAGCGGAAUAUGUCAUGUAGCGGUGAAAUGCAUAGAUAUGACAUAGAACACCUAUAGCGAAGGCAGCUUACUACG
rnacentral:rRNA from 1 species